UUCUUUAUGGUUAUGAUGAACUGCUUAUUACAGAUAUGCCAACAGAAGAGGUUAAAAGGUAUCAUCUCUCUCUCGAAGACCUUUUUUUCCAUUUUGUUUUGGUGAAACCAACUAUGAAAGGCUUAAACUAUAUCCAUCUCUCCUGAUCAUCUCAGACAAGGGACUUCCAGGUAAGAAGAGUCUAUACAUAAGGCUAGGUUGCCGUGGUGAUUGGCCCAAUAUACAACCGCCGGGAUGGGAUCCGUCGUCUGACACCGGAGCUCAUCCAAGCUUCUCAUAAAGUAUUCUUUAAACAAUGCUCUUCUUUUUUUCUUUUCUAUUAAAAAAACCAGCAACAAGCGUUGUAAAGAAUUAUCACUUUCAUGACAUUGGUAAUUUCUGUAGAAGAUGCAUAUUUGAUGAUUU